rnacentral:rRNA from 1 species
CCUACGGGUGGCAGCAGUCGAGAAUCAUUCACAAUGGGGGAAACCCUGAUGGUGCGACGCCGCGUGGGGGAAUGAAGGUCUUCGGAUUGUAAACCCCUGUCAUGUGGGAGCAAAUUAAAAAGAUAGUACCACAAGAGGAAGAGACGGCUAACUCUGUGCCAGCAGCCGCGGUAAUACAGCGGUCUCAAGCGUUGUUCGGAAUCACUGGGCGUAAAGCGUGCGUAGGCUGUUUCGUAAGUCGUGUGUGAAAGGCGGGGGCUCAACCCGCGGAUGGCACAUGAUACUGCGAGACUAGAGUAAUGGAGGGGGAACCGGAAGUCUCGGUGUAGCAGUGAAAUGCGUAGAGAUCGAGAGGAACACUCGUGGCGAAGGCGGGUUCCUGGACAUUAACUGGCGCUGAGGCACGAAGGCCAGGGGAGCGAAAGGGAUUAGAUACCCUAGUAGUC